rnacentral:rRNA from 1 species
UACGUAGGCAGCGAGCGUUGUUCGGAGUUACUGGGCGUAAAGAGCUCGUAGGUGGUUUGUCGCGUUGUUCGUGAAAACUCACAGCUUAACUGUGGGCGUGCGGGCGAUACGGGCAGACUGGAGUACUGCAGGGGAGACUGGAAUUCCUGGUGUAGCGGUGAAAUGCGCAGAUAUCAGGAGGAACACCGGUGGCGAAGGCGGCCUGCUGGGCAGUGGCUGACACUGAGGCGCGACAGUGUGGGGGAGCGAACAGG